rnacentral:rRNA from 1 species
CAAUAGCGUAUAUUAAAGUUGUUGCAGUUAAAAAGCUCGUAGUUGGAUUUGUGGCGUACGGUGGGUUCCGGGCACUUGUUGUCUGAGUAACUUGCUGUUGCCAUCCUUGGGUGGAACCUGUGUGGCAUUAGGUUGUCGUGCAGGGGAUGCCCAUCAUUUACUGUGAAAAAAUUAGAGUGUUCAAAGCAGGCUUAUGCCGUUGAAUAUAUUAGCAUGGAAUAAUGAGAUAGGACUUUUUUGCUAUUUUGUUGGUUUGCGCAAAGAGGUAAUGAUUAAUAGGGACAGUUGGGAGUAUUCGUAUUCCAUUGUCAGAGGUGAAAUUCUUGGAUUUUUGGAAGACGAACUACUGCGAAAGCAUUUACCAAGGAUGUUUUCAUUAA